AAUUCGCCCUUAGAGUUUGAUCCUGGCUCGGAUUGAACGCUGGCGGCAUGCCUUACACAUGCAAGUCGAACGGUAACAGGCCGCAAGGUGCUGACGAGUGGCGAACGGGUGAGUAAUACAUCGGAACGUGCCCGAUCGUGGGGGAUAACGCAGCGAAAGCUGUGCUAAUACCGCAUACGAUCUACGGAUGAAAGCGGGGGAUCGCAAGACCUCGCGCGGACGGAGCGGCCGAUGGCAGAUUAGGUAGUUGGUGGGGUAAAGGCCUACCAAGCCGACGAUCUGUAGCUGGUCUGAGAGGACGACCAGCCACACUGGGACUGAGACACGGCCCAGACUCCUACGGGAGGCAGCAGUGGGGAAUUUUGGACAAUGGGCGCAAGCCUGAUCCAGCCAUGCCGCGUGCAGGAUGAAGGCCUUCGGGUUAUAAACUGCUUUUGUACGGAACGAAAAGGUUUCUUUUAAUACAGGGAACUGAUGACGGUACCGUAGGAAUAAGCACCGGCUAACUACGUGCCAGCAGCCGCGGUAAUACGUAGGGUGCGAGCGUUAAUCGGAAUUACUGGGCGUAAAGCGUGCGCAGGCGGUGAUGUAAGACAGAGGUGAAAUCCCCGGGCUCAACCUGGGAACUGCCUUUGUGACUGCAUCGCUGGAGUGCGGCAGAGGGGGAUGGAAUUCCGCGUGUAGCAGUGAAGUGCGUAGAUAUGCGGAGGAACACCGAUGGCGAAGGCAAUCCCCUGGGCCUGCACUGACGCUCAUGCACGAAAGCGUGGGGAGCAAACAGGAUUAGAUACCCUGGUAGUCCACGCCCUAAACGAUGUCAACUGGUUGUUGGGAAUUAGUUUUCUCAGUAACGAAGCUACGCGUGAAGUUGACCGCCUGGGGAGUACGGCCGC
rnacentral:rRNA from 1 species